UUUUGUUUCAGAAUCUGCUGCGUCACUCGUCGGUUGGGGAGCGGAAGUGUGUCAUUUUUCAAGUUGCAGCUCUGAAGAAGAAACUUUGGAACCGUUUUCUGUCCGGCUGCUUCUGAUGAGAACAAAUCCAAGAAUAAAAAGAUAAAAUACACACAGCGUGGAGCAAAGAAACUGAAGAAGGACUCCUGUCUGAGUGCAACACAUCAAUCAUGGUGGAGAACCCGUCCGGAUUACCUUGGGUUCUGUUGGUACCUGGAGGUUUUGCGCCUCAUCAUUGAUGUUCAGUGUGGAACUGGGGGCUCCGUCUACAACCUGGAUGUCCCGGUGUUUAACUAUCUGUGCUACCCAUCGAUCCGUCCUACCCUGUGACGCGCACAUCGCUGCUACGUCACAAUCUGCUGACUCAGCAGAUUUCUCCUCAUCCUUCCUGUGGAAGUUUCGUUUCGUCUGUUUUAUUUCGUCGAAGAUUAAGAAGUUGCUGAGCCGAAAGUUUGUCAGAAGAAAGUUGCCGUGUCGUGAUGGAGGUCAGGUGACUGGAGACGCCACCGUCACCUUUAAUUAGCCCACUUCCGGUCCCUCAGCGGGGAGAUUAGAGAGAUCGCUCUCUGGAGUCGGGAGCGGCUCGCUGGCUUAACGGGUUUCCCAGGCGGAGGGGGGCGCAGAGGAAGAGGAGAGGAUCCAGGUAGGUGCCAAGUCUCCGGGCUGGAGGCGGGGAUCAGUCCAUGAUUCGAGCCUUGGCUUGAUGGGCUCCGGGCCGGAUCCAAACCGACAAUCGGGAUCAACAAGUGGGGACCAUCGAGCGAUGACAGACAGCUCCGCCGCUUCUUAUGAGGUCAGCAGCCGAUUGGUGGAAUCCGCUUCAGGUCGGGUCUUCUGGACCCGGUGACCCCGUCGGAUCUUCUGGACUGGAGUCAUUAUUUAAUAGACAAUGAUGAAGAGGAGCUGAUUGUGAUGAUGAAGAU